rnacentral:misc_RNA from 1 species
CUGGCAGGAGCAGAUUCCAAAGGCACAGGAAGAAGCUUGCAGUACAAAGAUAAAAAUCUAAAGUGGUUGCUGUGGAGGACAGGGGUCAGUGGUGGAAGUGAGACCGAAAUAGACUCUGAAGUAAUAUCUGGACUUUGAAAUUGUUGCCUGUUCACUCUGCCUGGUCAUAUGCAGAAAACCGAAACUAGACCCCUUGCUGACACUUAUACAAAAAUUAACUCAAGAUGCAUUAAAGAUUUAAACGUGAGACCUAAAACCAGAAAAAUCCUAGAAGAAAACCUAGGCAACACCAUUGAGGACGUAAGCAUGGGCAAAGACUUCAUGACUAAAACACCAAAAGAAAUGGCAACAAAAGCCAAAAUUGACAAAAGGUUUCCUUAAUGACAACAAAAAAGGGAGUAAUCCUACCCACUGUAAGAGUCAUGACUCUUGAUUGCAGCUGACAGAAACUCAUGACAGCCUGCUUUAGAUGAAGGGGGAGAGAAGGACUGGAAGAAUCUUGGAGUUGGGAAUGUCACACGCAGCUGCUCCCAACCCCAGAACCUUUGCUGUCUUGGGACGGAUCACCACUGCAAGAGGGGAAGUUGCUACUGUGAUGAAUUCUGCCAUGUGGCACCAGACUGCCACCCAGACCACAGUGUCCUCUGCAACCCUGGUAACUCACAUACAGGCCCGAUUCCACCGACAGCAAAGCUGGAUGCUAUGGCUGGCAGAGGCAAACCCUUUGCCUGCACUUCAGGCCAAAGCCGGGAUGUGGCCUAGAUGGUUCCUAAGGUCCCUGACAAUCCUGAGAUCUUGCAUCUUGUCUAUUUCAGGUCAAAGCUUCUCAGAUGACCAAGAUGGUGCUGCAGAUGGUGCUGAGGAUGGAGAACCCACCAAGCC